UACGAAGGGUGCAAGCGUUAAUCGGAAUUACUGGGCGUAAAGCGUGCGUAGGCGGUUUCUUAAGUCUGCUGUGAAAGCCCCGGGCUCAACCUGGGAAUGGCGGUGGAUACUGAGAAGCUGGAGUACGGUAGAGGAAGGUGGAAUUCCUGGUGUAGCGGUGAAAUGCGUAGAGAUCGGGAGGAACACCGGUGGCGAAGGCGGGUCUCUGGACAGUUCCUGACACUGAGGCACGAAGGCCAGGGGAGCAAACGGG
rnacentral:rRNA from 1 species